CUGAGUAAAGUGGCGCACGGGUGAGUAACACGUGACUAAUCUACCCUCGAGUGGGGAAUAACUAAGAGAAAUCUUGGCUAAUACCGCAUAAUACCCACGGGUCAAAGCAGUAAUGCGCUUGAGGAGGAGGUCGCGGCAGAUUAGUUAGUUGGCGGGGUAAUGGCCCACCAAGACGAUGAUCUGUAUCCGGCCUGAGAGGGCGCACGGACACACUGGAACUGAAACACGGUCCAGACUCCUACGGGAGGCAGCAGUGGGGAAUUUUGCGCAAUGGGGGAAACCCUGACGCAGCAACGCCGCGUGGAGGAUGAAGUAUCUUGGUACGUAAACUCCUUUCGAUGGGGAAGAUAAUGACGGUACCCAUAGAAGAAGCCCCGGCUAACUUCGUGCCAGCAGCCGCGGUAAUACGAGGGGGGCAAGCGUUGUUCGGAAUUAUUGGGCGUAAAGGGUGCGUAGGCGGUUUGGCAAGUCUUAUGUGAAAUCUUCGGGCUCAACCCGAAGUCUGCAUGAGAAACUGCCGGGCUUGAGUAUGGGAGAGGUGAGUGGAAUUUCCGGUGUAGCGGUGAAAUGCGUAGAUAUCGGAAGGAACACCUGUGGCGAAAGCGGCUCACUGGACCAUAACUGACGCUGAGGCACGAAGGCUAGGGGAGCAAACAGGAUUAGAUACCCUGGUAGUCCUAGCCCUAAACGAUGAUUGUUUGAUGUGGCAGGUACCCAAUCCUGCCGUGUCGAAGCUAACGCGAUAAACAAUCCGCCUGGGGAGUACGGUCGCAAGGCUGAAACUCAAAGGAAUUGACGGGGGCCCGCACAAGCGGUGGAGCAUGUGGUUUAAUUCGACGCAACGCGCAGAACCUUACCAACCCUUGACAUGGAAAGUAUGGGUCUUGGAGACAGGAUUCUUCAGUUCGGCUGGCUUUCACACAGGUGCUGCAUGGCUGUCGUC
rnacentral:rRNA from 1 species